GACGAACGCUGGCGGCGUGCUUAACACAUGCAAGUCGAACGGAAAGGCCCUGCUUUUGUGGGGUGCUCGAGUGGCGAACGGGUGAGUAACACGUGAGUAACCUGCCCUUGACUUUGGGAUAACUUCAGGAAACUGGGGCUAAUACCGGAUAGAAGCUCCUGCUGCAUGGUGGGGGUUGGAAAGUUUCGGCGGUUGGGGAUGGACUCGCGGCUUAUCAGCUUGUUGGUGGGGUAGUGGCUUACCAAGGCUUUGACGGGUAGCCGGCCUGAGAGGGUGACCGGCCACAUUGGGACUGAGAUACAGCCCAGACUCCUACGGGAGGCAGCAGUGGGGAAUAUUGCACAAUGGGCGGAAGCCUGAUGCAGCAACGCCGCGUGCGGGAUGACGGCCUUCGGGUUGUAAACCGCUUUCGCCUGUGACGAAGCGUGAGUGACGGUAAUGGGUAAAGAAGCACCGGCUAACUACGUGCCAGCAGCCGCGGUGAUACGUAGGGUGCGAGCGUUGUCCGGAUUUAUUGGGCGUAAAGGGCUCGUAGGUGGUUGAUCGCGUCGGAAGUGUAAUCUUGGGGCUUAACCCUGAGCGUGCUUUCGAUACGGGUUGACUUGAGGAAGGUAGGGGAGAAUGGAAUUCCUGGUGGAGCGGUGGAAUGCGCAGAUAUCAGGAGGAACACCAGUGGCGAAGGCGGUUCUCUGGGCCUUUCCUGACGCUGAGGAGCGAAAGCGUGGGGAGCGAACAGGCUUAGAUACCCUGGUAGUCCACGCUGUAAACGGUGGGUACUAGGUGUGGGGUCCAUUCCACGGGUUCCGUGCCGUAGCUAACGCUUUAAGUACCCCGCCUGGGGAGUACGGCCGCAAGGCUAAAACUCAAAGGAAUUGACGGGGCCCCGCACAAGCGGCGGAGCAUGCGGAUUAAUUCGAUGCAACGCGUAGAACCUUACCUGGGUUUGACAUGGAUCGGGAGUGCUCAGAGAUGGGUGUGCCUCUUUUGGGGUCGGUUCACAGGUGGUGCAUGCCUGUCGUCAGCUCGUGUCGUGAGAUGUUGGGUUAAGUCCCGCAACGAGCGCAACCCUUGUUCACUGUUGCCAGCACGUUAUGGUGGGGACUCAGUGGAGACCGCCGGGGUCAACUCGGAGGAAGGUGGGGAUGACGUCAAGUCAUCAUGCCCCUUAUGUCCAGGGCUUCACGCAUGCUACAAUGGCUGGUACAGAGAGUGGCGAGCCUGUGAGGGUGAGCGAAUCUCGGAAAGCCGGUCUCAGUUCGGAUUGGGGUCUGCAACUCGACCUCAUGAAGUCGGAGUCGCUAGUAAUCGCAGAUCAGCAACGCUGCGGUGAAUACGUUCCCGGG
rnacentral:rRNA from 1 species